AUACUUACCUGGACGGGAUUUAUGGGCGAUCAAGAGGGCUCAUGGUCUAGAUGAGUGACCUCCAUUGCACAUGGGAGGGGUGCUGGUCUAAGGUCUCCCCAAGUGGGAGAGCCUACGUCAUAAUUUGUGGUAGUGGGGGGCCUGCGUUCGCGCGGCCUCUAU